GAUGAACGCUGGCGGCGUGCCUAAUACAUGCAAGUCGAGCGAACGGACGAGAAGCUUGCUUCUCUGAUGUUAGCGGCGGACGGGUGAGUAACACGUGGAUAACCUACCUAUAAGACUGGGAUAACUUCGGGAAACCGGAGCUAAUACCGGAUAAUAUUUUGAACCGCAUGGUUCAAAAGUGAAAGACGGUCUUGCUGUCACUUAUAGAUGGAUCCGCGCUGCAUUAGCUAGUUGGUAAGGUAACGGCUUACCAAGGCAACGAUGCAUAGCCGACCUGAGAGGGCGAUCGGCCACACUGGAACUGAGACACGGUCCAGACUCCUACGGGAGGCAGCAGUAGGGAAUCUUCCGCAAUGGGCGAAAGCCUGACGGAGCAACGCCGCGUGAGUGAUGAAGGUCUUCGGAUCGUAAAACUCUGUUAUUAGGGAAGAACAUAUGUGUAAGUAACUGUGCACAUCUUGACGGUACCUAAUCAGAAAGCCACGGCUAACUACGUGCCAGCAGCCGCGGUAAUACGUAGGUGGCAAGCGUUAUCCGGAAUUAUUGGGCGUAAAGCGCGCGUAGGCGGUUUUUUAAGUCUGAUGUGAAAGCCCACGGCUCAACCGUGGAGGGUCAUUGGAAACUGGAAAACUUGAGUGCAGAAGAGGAAAGUGGAAUUCCAUGUGUAGCGGUGAAAUGCGCAGAGAUAUGGAGGAACACCAGUGGCGAAGGCGACUUUCUGGUCUGUAACUGACGCUGAUGUGCGAAAGCGUGGGGAUCAAACAGGAUUAGAUACCCUGGUAGUCCACGCCGUAAACGAUGAGUGCUAAGUGUUAGGGGGUUUCCGCCCCUUAGUGCUGCAGCUAACGCAUUAAGCACUCCGCCUGGGGAGUACGACCGCAAGGUUGAAACUCAAAGGAAUUGACGGGGACCCGCACAAGCGGUGGAGCAUGUGGUUUAAUUCGAAGCAACGCGAAGAACCUUACCAAAUCUUGACAUCCUUUGACAACUCUAGAGAUAGAGCUUUCCCCUUCGGGGGACAAAGUGACAGGUGGUGCAUGGUUGUCGUCAGCUCGUGUCGUGAGAUGUUGGGUUAAGUCCCGCAACGAGCGCAACCCUUAAGCUUAGUUGCCAUCAUUAAGUUGGGCACUCUAAGUUGACUGCCGGUGACAAACCGGAGGAAGGUGGGGAUGACGUCAAAUCAUCAUGCCCCUUAUGAUUUGGGCUACACACGUGCUACAAUGGACAAUACAAAGGGCAGCGAAACCGUGAGGUCAAGCAAAUCCCAUAAAGUUGUUCUCAGUUCGGAUUGUAGUCUGCAACUCGACUACAUGAAGCUGGAAUCGCUAGUAAUCGUAGAUCAGCAUGCUACGGUGAAUACGUUCCCGGGUCU
rnacentral:rRNA from 1 species